rnacentral:rRNA from 1 species
AGCGGCGGAUGGGUGAGUAACACGUGGGGAACCUGCCCCUAAGUCUGGGAUACCAUUUGGAAAUAGGUGCUAAUACCGGAUAAUAAAGCAGAUCGCAUGAUCAGCUUUUGAAAGGCGGCGUAAGCUGUCGCUAAGGGAUGGCCCCGCGGUGCAUUAGCUAGUUGGUAAGGUAACGGCUUACCAAGGCGACGAUGCAUAGCCGAGUUGAGAGACUGAUCGGCCACAUUGGGACUGAGACACGGCCCAAACUCCUACGGGAGGCAGCAGUAGGGAAUCUUCCACAAUGGACGCAAGUCUGAUGGAGCAACGCCGCGUGAGUGAAGAAGGUUUUCGGAUCGUAAAGCUCUGUUGUUGGUGAAGAAGGAUAGAGGUAGUAACUGGCCUUUAUUUGACGGUAAUCAACCAGAAAGUCACGGCUAACUACGUGCCAGCAGCCGCGGUAAUACGUAGGUGGCAAGCGUUGUCCGGAUUUAUUGGGCGUAAAGCGAGCGCAGGCGGAAAAAUAAGUCUAAUGUGAAAGCCCUCGGCUUAACCGAGGAACUGCAUCGGAAACUGUUUUUCUUGAGUGCAGAAGAGGAGAGUGGAACUCCAUGUGUAGCGGUGGAAUGCGUAGAUAUAUGGAAGAACACCAGUGGCGAAGGCGGCUCUCUGGUCUGCAACUGACGCUGAGGCUCGAAAGCAUGGGUAGCGAACAGGAUUAGAUACCCUGGUAGUCCAUGCCGUAAACGAUGAGUGCUAAGUGU